rnacentral:lncRNA from 1 species
CGGACAUUUCUUUAACAUGUGUGGACCAUCGCAAAGAAAGCAUUUCAGCUUGUCCCUUUUCCUCUUGGGUUUCUUCUUCCCAACUCGUGGUUUCCCAUUACCACCAUUGUCGCCGUUGCCAUUGCCAUCAACAAUAUCUUCCUUGUGAUCCAUUUCACAUACGCCCCUUUCCUCGGACUUGGAAGACCCAAGCUUGUCUUUCCCUAGACCAAGCUUGACCACUGACUCAAC